UACGUAGGGGGCAAGCGUUGUCCGGAAUUAUUGGGCGUAAAGGGCGCGUAGGCGGAUAGUUAAGUCCGGUGUGAAAGAUCAGGGCUCAACCCUGAGAGUGCAUCGGAAACUGGUUAUCUUGAGGACAGGAGAGGAAAGUGGAAUUCCACGUGUAGCGGUGAAAUGCGUAGAUAUGUGGAGGAACACCAGUGGCGAAGGCAGCUCGCUGGGACGGUACUGACGCUGAGGUGCGAAAGCGUGGGGAGCAAACAGG
rnacentral:rRNA from 1 species